rnacentral:rRNA from 1 species
CUGCUUAAUAGCUAGCCCAUCAAAUCAAAAAAAGAACAGAUAUUAAUUUAUCCAAACACACUAAAUUUUAGCUAAACAAACCAUUUUUCCGCUCAAGUAUGGGUGACAGAAACAGAACUACGGCGCAAUAGAGAAAGUACCGCAAGGGAACGCUGAAAGAGAAGUGAAAUAACCCAGUAAUGCUUAAAAAAGCAGAGCUGCCCCCUCGUACCUUUUGCAUCAUGACUUAGCUAGAAAUUUUCGAGCAAGGAGAACUUUAGUUUGUAACCCCGAAAUUAGGUGAGCUACUCCAAGACAGCCUAUUAAUAGGGCACACCCGUCUCUGUGGCAAAAGAGUGGGAAGAGCUUUGAGUAGAGGUGACAGACCUAUCGAACCUAAUUAUAGCUGGUUGCCUGGAAAUUGGAUAGGAGUUCAGCCUCUCGGCUUCUUAAUUCACCUGUGAACUUCACCGCCUGAUGAAAGAGAAAACCGCGAGAGUUACUCAAAGGGGGUACAGCCCCUUUGAAACAGGAUACAACCUUUCUAGAAGGAUAAAGAUCAAAUUUAUUUUAAGGCAAUAUAUACUCGUGGGCUUGAAAGCAGCCACCGUAACAGAAAGCGUUAAAGCUCAAAUAAAAUUCUAUGCCUAUUAUCACGAUAAUUAAAUCUUAAUCCCCUUUUCUCACCAGGCCUCCCCAUGUCCCCAUGGGGGCGAUUAUGCUAACAUGAGUAAUAAGAGACCCUAAUUCUCUCCUGACAUAUCUGUAAAUCGGAACGGACCCACCACCGAAACUUAACGCCCCCAUUAAAAGAGGGUUAUGAAGACAUAAAUUAAAUAACCGGAAAAACAAUCAUAAUUAAGCGUUAACCCUACACUGGUAUGUUACUAAGGAAAGACUAAAAGAAAAAGAAGGAACUCGGCAAACACAGGCCUCGCCUGUUUACCAAAAACAUCGCCUCUUGCAAGAUGAAAAAAUAAGAGGUCCCGCCUGCCCUGUGACUAUAUGUUUAACGGCCGCGGUAUUUUGACCGUGCAAAGGUAGCGCAAUCACUUGUCUUUUAAAUGGAGACCUGUAUGAAUGGCAUAACGAGGGCCUGACUGUCUCCUUUUUCUAGUCAAUGAAAUUGAUCUCCCCGUGCAGAAGCGGGGAUAAACCUAUAAGACGAGAAGACCCUAUGGAGCUUUAGACACGAUUGCAGACCAUGCUCCUACCCCCUAUUAAAGGACGAAGCUAAGUGACCCCUGCCUGAAUGUCUUUGGUUGGGGCGACCGUGGGGUAAUAAAAAACCCCCAUGUGGAAUGAAACUAAUGUUUCCGAACUAAGAGCUACCGCUCUAAGUACCAGAAAUUCUGACCAAACCAGAUCCGGUAACAACCGAUCAACGGACCGAGUUACCCUAGGGAUAACAGCGCAAUCCUCUUUCAGAGCCCAUAUCGACAAGAGGGUUUACGACCUCGAUGUUGGAUCAGGACAUCCUAAUGGUGCAGCCGCUAUUAAGGGUUCGUUUGUUCAACGAUUAAAGUCCUACGUGAUCUGAGUUCAGACCGGAGUAAUCCAGGUCAGUUUCUAUCUAUAACACGGGCUUUUCUAGUACGAAAGGACCGAAAAGAAGAGGCCCAUACUUAAAGCACGCCUCACCCCAACCUGACGAAAACAACUAAAACAGAUAAAGGGGCGUAACCCUUUGCCUGAGAAAAAAGGCAA